GUUGGGGUUCUGAACUUCGUUCUUUUCUCCCCCGGUGUUACUUAAGCGCUUCAUUCACUUUGGAAGGCAAAGAGUUGUGUCUAAGCUACAUGUGAAGUCCUAAACCCUGAGUCCUGUUCUGGGAACUGCGAACCAACCUAGGACCCGGCGUCGUGGCUAGGACUGACUACGGUGAUGUGCAUUCUGAAAACUGAAGGGAAAGCUAGAGGGACCCGGUAGGAAAAGGAAGGGGGCCUCUGACCAAGUGUUCGCAACAGGCACUGGUAUGUGAAACUCUUUGAAAGAAAUUCACAUUUGGCAAGGAACAGUGGACCCAGGUUUGAGUGGAGCAGAUUUCUGAGGAGCAUUGAACUCAACCGACCUGAGCUCACACAACUUCACGAAAUCGCUUACCUUUUCGUGUUCAAUAACUGCUUGUCUGAAGUCUGGCUACUAUAUUUUCAAAAUCACAGCAAAUAUACUUUCCCUAUAUAGUUUGCUUCAUUAAGUGGCUCUCUUAGAACCUAGGAUAUUUUCUGUAAACUUUUUUAAAUGUUGUAGACUAUGUUGGGCUUUGUUUUGAUGGCUCAUAAUCCAACACUUCAUUAAUGUGGUCUGAAUAGUUUUUCCAUUCACUUACCUUAUACUUACCUGUACUGAGGUCACUUUUUUUUUUUAAUUUAUUUUUGUGUAUAUUUAGAACCACUACUGAUAUAACUACUCUUUUUUCACACAAAAACUUUUUUUUUCAAUUUUAGAACUUCAUUCCUUUUAUUGAAAAUAGAUUCUUUCCCCAUACAAUAUAACCUAAUUAUACUCUCCCCUCCCUCUACUCCCCCCAGUUCCUCCCUCACUCCACUCCCCUAGAGCUCCAGUCCCUUUUUGUCUCUCAUUAGAAAUAACAGGUUUCCAAGAGAUAACCAAACAUGACCAAAAAAAUAUAUAUAUAUAUAUAUAAAGAUGAAGCAGAAACUAUUAA
rnacentral:lncRNA from 1 species